GGGAAAUCAUCAAAAACCACAGAGAUGCAGAUGUAGUGCCCUUUCUGGAAUUCCCAAAGUAUGCUCCCAAAAGAGGAGAGAGUGCACGCACGCUCCCUCUCCUCAUGGCUCACCCCCACCCCCUCCUGCGUGCUAACAGUGAUAACAGCAUGACCCUGCCUGAUACCAUGGCCCUGCCCAACAAGGCUGCUAGAUCCAAUCCCGUCCCUGGACAGGGUCGCAGGGCCUCUGUAGGUGUGAGGAGCUCCAGCAGUCCCAGGGCCCGUACCC